GACGAACGCUGGCGGCGUGCCUAAUACAUGCAAGUAGAACGCUGAAGGAGGAGCUUGCUUCUCUGGAUGAGUUGCGAACGGGUGAGUAACGCGUAGGUAACCUGCCUGGUAGCGGGGGAUAACUAUUGGAAACGAUAGCUAAUACCGCAUAAGAGUAGAUGUUGCAUGACAUUUGCUUAAAAGGUGCAAUUGCAUCACUACCAGAUGGACCUGCGUUGUAUUAGCUAGUUGGUGGGGUAACGGCUCACCAAGGCGACGAUACAUAGCCGACCUGAGAGGGUGAUCGGCCACACUGGGACUGAGACACGGCCCAGACUCCUACGGGAGGCAGCAGUAGGGAAUCUUCGGCAAUGGACGGAAGUCUGACCGAGCAACGCCGCGUGAGUGAAGAAGGUUUUCGGAUCGUAAAGCUCUGUUGUAAGAGAAGAACGAGUGUGAGAGUGGAAAGUUCACACUGUGACGGUAACUUACCAGAAAGGGACGGCUAACUACGUGCCAGCAGCCGCGGUAAUACGUAGGUCCCGAGCGUUAUCCGGAUUUAUUGGGCGUAAAGCGAGCGCAGGCGGUUAGAUAAGUCUGAAGUUAAAGGCUGUGGCUUAACCAUAGUACGCUUUGGAAACUGUUUAACUUGAGUGCAGAAGGGGAGAGUGGAAUUCCAUGUGUAGCGGUGAAAUGCGUAGAUAUAUGGAGGAACACCGGUGGCGAAAGCGGCUCUCUGGCUUGUAACUGACGCUGAGGCUCGAAAGCGUGGGGAGCAAACAGG
rnacentral:rRNA from 1 species